AACGAACGCUGGCGGCAUGCCUAACACAUGCAAGUCGAACGAGACCUUCGUGUCUAGUGGCGCACGGGUGCGUAACGCGUGGGAACCUGCCCUUAGGUUCGGAAUAACUCCCCGAAAGGGGUGCUAAUACCGGAUAAUGUCUUCGGACCAAAGGUUUAUCGCCUUUGGAUGGGCCCGCGUUGGAUUAGCUAGUUGGUAGGGUAAAAGCCUACCAAGGCGACGAUCCAUAGCUGGUCUGAGAGGAUGAUCAGCCACACUGGGACUGAGACACGGCCCAGACUACUACGGGAGGCAGCAGUGGGGAAUAUUGGAAAAUGGGCGAAAGCCUGAUCCAGCAAUGCCGCGUGAGUGAUGAAGGUCUUAGGGUUGUAAAGCUCUUUUACCCGGGAUGAUAAUGACAGUACCGGGAGAAUAAGCUCCGGCUAACUCCGUG
rnacentral:rRNA from 1 species